AAUAGUAAUGCAUAUCGAUUUCUGGUAUAUAAAUCUGAAAUAUCAGACAUUCAUGAAAAAACACUACAAGGAAAAUGCGUAUUGAUAGCACAUUGUAAUAGAUUUGUUUUCUAAACUGCUAUUAAAGAUAAAUUUUUCGAAUUUAGUAUACAUUAAUAGCAGUUAAUUAAGGCUAUCGUGAAAAAUUAGUAAGUGGGAAUAAAAAAUCACGCAUACCGCCUCUACGUAGGUGAAAUUGAGACAAAACCGCAAAAUACCAAAAUUUUCCGUCUUUACUAUAACACAUUCUCUACUUAAAAUGUAAAAUUUAGUUUCCACAAAAAAUAGAGUCACCAAAAAAAAACCCUCUCCUCUCGAAAAAUCUAACUGCUCAUCUUCUCCGAUGUAUAUCUCCCUCUCACUUUCUCCAAAUCUCACCUCUCUUCUAAUCUUCUUCAACAAUUCUCACUUCUCCUCUUAUUUUGAAAAUCGUUUUGGAGUAUUGUGUUCUCUGUGUUUUCAAUAAAUCUAGGGUUUCUCAUUCCCUUUCUUUCCUAGGGCCUGAGACACGAGAGACGGAAGAGAAGAGAGAUGAGACGGAACGGAGAUAGAGAGGAGAGAAAGCUCGGGUCGUGUCUUGCUUCGUCUCCGAUAACCAGAGCUUGGGUUGGGUGGGGUCUUGCUUUGUCUUCUCCAUUUUCGCCUCAGCUUCAGAUACGCCGUGUUUGAGCUCCGCCGCUGCUUGUACCUUUUUCAGCAUUCGUCUCGAGAGAAGAAUUUGAGUCGAGCGAUAAGAGAAGGCAGAAGAUGGAGUUGGUUCAGAGACAAGGGAAGAGACAUCCUGCCUCUCGAGCUGGCAAUCUAAGGUACGUUUGUCUCCACUCUCGUGUUCUUCAUACAUAGAAGUGAGCUUGAUGGCGGAUUUGUGGUAUGUGUUUGCAAGAGACAGAGGAGAUGGAGAUGGGAAGAAGAAGAAGAAGAACCGGAGAAAACAGAGGUGGAGUUUCAGAUUCAAAACGAGAGAAGACACAAGAGCAAAGUAUUUGGAUCGACAAGGAAGAGGAAGAUGAGAAUGACAAAGUGGCUGUAGGCGAGGAACUCAGAGGCGUGUGUCUGACAGAAGUUAUAAAUAUACACAAGAUCUUGAUUCUUAUGAGGAAUCUUUGUUGAUUUCUCAAGACAUGUUCGUUCAAUUGCCUUAAAGAAUCAGCUUUAUGCUGUUGUUGGUGCUCUGUUACUAACUACCAUCUUCUUCUUCUCUAGUAAGUAGUGGCCAUCUCAUUCUUAUUUAGAUAUAUUGGUCUUCAAUAGUCUUCUUCUUGCCUUCUUGUUUGCGGUUUAGUAGUGUUUGAUUGUUUUUGCAGUUAAAGAAGUGAAACAUAAAGUACAAGAAGAAGAAGACAAACAUGGAGAUGAUUGUGAACUGGAUCUACUCUACAUUGUGCAUUCAGACAUCUCAUCUCUUCUUCACCAGGAAGAUCCGUCUUUGAUGACCGCAAGGGUCUUUCCAAAUGCUGCUGCAAAUCAAUAGCUUCAGGCUCCUAAAGAAGAUCUUAACCACACAAACCAGUAUGUUAUAGGACUCACACUCUAUGAUUUAGGUUUCUAACUUGCUGCAAAUUCACUAAGUCCUCAUGUCCAAGGGCUAGAUUCUGAGCUUAGUGUUGACUGUGUUCUCUCAUAUGUUAGGAAGUAAGAAUGCUUGCUGCUGGUCGAACUCUUGGUGCGAGACUGCUCGAGCCUAGAUGCAAAUCUAUGCUUGGUUCGUCUCUAUUAGGUGCUCUAAUUGUUUCUCUAUGCGAUUUCAUAUUGGCUUAUGUUGAUGCUGAGAUAUUCACUUUUCCACUGGAAUUCUUUUCCUUGGCCAUAUAUUAGAUGUUCUUGGAACAUCAACUCGGGAGAUUAUUAAGGUGCAUCCCUACGCCGCUUUUUCGAUGAGAUACAUGCUAAGGCCAAGAAGGAAAUGGGAGCUCAAGGUUUUGAUCUACUUCCCAUGUUUUCUAGUCUUUUUUAUAUUUAGUUCUGAUUUUUAUGUUGUGUAAGAUUUGAUGAUAAUGUAGACAUGUUUGUGGUAUUGAUGUAAGUACAUCUUGGUUUUAUUAAUGAAAUAUAAAUUGAAUAUUA